rnacentral:tRNA from 1 species
CCCCAAAUAGCUCAGUUGGCAGAGCGUUAAACUGAAGGUCUAAAGGUUCCUGGUUCGAUCCCGGGUUUCGGCA